rnacentral:rRNA from 1 species
UAGGGAAUUUUCCGCAAUGGGCGAAAGCCUGACGGAGCAACGCCGCGUGAGUGAAGACGGCCUUCGGGUUGUAAAACUCUGUUCUUGGGGAAGAAGAAAGUGACGGUACCCAAGGAGAAAGCCCCGGCUAACUACGUGCCAGCAGCCGCGGUAAUACGUAGGGGGCGAGCGUUAUCCGGAUUUAUUGGGCGUAAAGCGCGCGCAGGCGGUCAGGUAAGUCGGAUGUGAAAGGCUACGGCUCAACCGUAGAGCGGCAUCCGAAACUGCUUGACUUGAGUGCAGGAGAGGAGAGUGGAAUUCCCGGUGUAGCGGUGGAAUGCGUAGAGAUCGGGAGGAACACCAGUGGCGAAGGCGACUCUCUGGACUGUAACUGACGCUGAGGCGCGAAAGCGUGGGGAGCAAACA